CUGGAGCUGGUCUCUGGCAAGUGGUGCCCAAUAUAGAUUACAGCAGGUCAGAUUACGAGCAUUCCAGAAGAGGACAUUCUUAUGAUAGUAACAUGGAGUCAUGAAGUAGGGACCGGGAAAAACUCAGAGAAAGAGAAAGAGAUAUGGAUCAGAAAAGGUCCCGGAAAUCCCCAUCUCCUGGGAGAAGAAGCCCAGAACCAUCAGUACCCCAGAAUUCCUCUGCUCAGGAUGAACCUACUGCAAAGAAGAAGAAAGAUGAGCUGGAUCCUCUUCUUACUCAUACUGGUGGAGCAUAUAUUCCCCCUGCAAAGCUCAGGAUGAUGCAAGAACAGAUUACAGAUUAAAACAGUUUAGCAUACCAGAGGAUGAACUGGGAAGCCCUAAAGAAGUUAAUCAAUGGCCUUAUCAACAAAGUCAACAUUUCCAAUGUAAGUAUCAUUAUUCAAGAGCUUCUUCAAGAAAAUAUAGUUAGAGGAAGAGAACUGCUUUACAGAUCUGUUUUGCAAGCACAGAGUGCUUCUCCAAUCUUCAUCCAUGUUUAUGCAGCAUUAGUGGCAAUUAUCAACUCAAAAUUUCCACAAACCGGAGAAUUAAUACUCAAGAGGCUAAUUCUUAAUUUUCGAAAAGGCUAUCAAAGAAAUGAUAAGCAACUUUGUCUGACUGCUUCAAAAUUUGUGGCACAUCUUAUUAACCAAAAUGUGGCACAUGAAGUUUUAUGCUUAGAGAUGCUCACUUUGCUCCUGGAAAGACCAACAGACAAUAGUGUUGAAGUUGCUAUUGGUUUUCUCAAGGAAUGUGACCUCAAAUUAACACAAGUGUCACCAAGAGGAAUUAACGCUGUAUUUGAAUGCCUUCGAAACAUUCUGCAUGAGUCUGAAAUUGACAAAAGAGUUCGUGUUUGCUGUAUGGAAGGAUGGAUUCAAGGACCACCCUAUUAUUCUAGAAGGACUUGACUUAGUGGAAGAAGAUGAUCAGUUCACUCAUAUGCUCCCUUUGGAGGAUGACUAUAAUCCAGAAGAUGUUCUUAAUGUUUUCAAGAUGGAUGCUAAUUUUAUGGAGAAUGAAGAGAAGUACAAAGCUAUUAAGAAGGAAAUUCUUGAUGAAGGAGACAGUGACUCAAACACAGACCACUGGAAGUAGUGAAGAGGAGGAGGAGGAAGAAGAGGAAGAAGAAGAUGAAGAAGGACAAAAAGUGACUAUUCAUGACAAAACAGAAAUUAAUCUAGUCUCAUUUUGUCAAACAAUUUAUCUUGCUAUUCAAUCAAGUUUAGAUUUUGAAGAAUGUGCUCAUAAAUUGCUGAAAAUGGAGUUUCCUGAAAGCCAAACAAAAGAACUCUGCAACAUGAUACUUGAUUGCUGUGCCCAACAAAGGACAUAUGAGAAAUUUUUUGGCUUGUUAGCUGGGUGAUUUUGCUCUCUAAAAAAAGAAUAUAUGGAAUCCUUUGAAAGUAUAUUCAAAGAACAGUAUGAUACCAUCCAUCGCUUAGAAACAAACAAAUUGAGAAAUGUUGCUAAGAUGUUUGCUCACCUUUUAUACACUGAUUCACUUACAUGGAGUGUUCUGGAAUGUAUAAAACUGAGUGAAGAAACCACCACAUCAUCCAGUAGAAUUUUUGUUAAAAUACUUUUUCAGGAACUGUGUGAAUACAUGGGUCUUCCUAAACUUAAUGUAAGAUUAAAGGAUGAAACCCUCCAGUCAUUCUUUGAAGGAUUAUUACCCCAAGAUAAUCCAAGAAACACUCGGUUUGCCAUCACCUUCUUUACCUCUAUAGGUCUUGGAGGGUUAACAGAUGAAUUACGUGAGCAUCUCAAAAAUACACCAAAGGUCAUCAUGGCACAGAAACCAGAUGUUGAACAAAAUAAAUCCUCCCCAUCCUCUUCCUCUUCGGCAUCCUCCUCUUCAGAGUCUGACUCCUCUGACUCUGAUUCUGACAGCAGUGAUAGCAGUUCAGAAUCUUCCAGUGACAAGAACGAGUCUUUGUCUACCAGUAGUCAUAGCUUUGCCUCAGCUAAAGACUUAAGAAAAAAGGGACAAGGGAAGACCAGACGUAAAGAAGUAGAUAAGUUGAUCAGGAAUCAAACACAUGAUAGGAGACAAAAAGAAAGAAGACCAGAACAGAGGCAUGAGGAGACAAGGACUGAGAAAGAAAGAAGGUCAGAAAAAUACAGAGAUCAGAAUUUAAGCAAUUCAAAUUGGAGAGAUCCUAUCACAAAAUACAUAUCAGAUAGAGGUGUUCCUUCCAAACGAAAUAAUUACAGUAGAGUUGUGAAUGACAGAGACCAAGAAAUGCACAUAGAUUUGGAAAAUAAGCAUAAUGAUCCCAAAAAGAAGAGAGCAAAGAGAAGGAAUUCUUUUUCUGAAAAUGAGAAGCACAGACACUGAAAUAAGGACAAUGAAAUUUUUAGAAGAAAAGAUAGAUCCAAGUCAAGGGAAAUGAGUAGGAAACAUUCAGGCUCUAGAAGCGAUGAAGAUAGAUAUCAGAAUGGUGCCGAGAGGCGAUGGGAAAAAUCUAGCAGAUACUCUGAACAGUCCAGAGAAUCAAGAAGAAAUCAGGAUCGGUGAAGAGAAAAGUCUCCAACAAAGCAAAAAUAA